rnacentral:rRNA from 1 species
UACGGAGGGUGCAAGCGUUAAUCGGAAUUACUGGGCGUAAAGCGCAUGUAGGCGGUGUGGCGAGUUAGGGGGAAAUGCAAGGGCUCAACCUUGGAACUGCCUCUAAAACUACCAUGCUUGAGUGCGAGAGAGGACGGCGGAAUUCCAGGUGUAGGAGUGAAAUCCGUAGAUAUCUGGAAGAACAUCAGUGGCGAAGGCGGCUGUCUGGCUCGUAACUGACGCUGAGAUGCGAAAGCGUGGGUAGCAAACA